AGCCUUCUGGGUCCGAGGCUCCCACCUGCGCUAAGCGCUUGACACCCUUUAAAAAAAUGUAUUUAAAGAGGCUGGUUCCUAUCCAUCCGACUGGAGGCAUCUCAGUGCAAGAGCAAAGCUAAGUCCUGCACACGCACCUCCCCUCCUCCUCCUCCUUCUCCCCCCAGGUUUUCCCGAAUGUAUCUACUCCGGUUACAACUAGACGCGGCCCCUCCCCCACCUGCCUCCCCCCUUCCUUCCCUCGAUCGUGGAGGGAGCGUUCUCUGUGCCUUCCCAAGUCCCCGUGGGGUCCUUCUAUGUUGGAGUGGGGUGAGGGGGGGAGGUUCAUAUAACGAAGGCCAGAAAGAACAAAUUAGAUAAUCGAAAGAAUUAUAGUAAUUGCUUUCACUUUCCCCCGCCCGCUCAGCGGAUUCCCUCCCCCGCCCCUCCCCUGGUUUUUCUGUCUGUCGGGAAUACUCGGUCUUUCCGACCCCCUCCCCUCCCCCAGGUUCCUCCUCUCCUCUCCCCUUGCUCGCGCGUUCCCUCUCUUCCUCCGUUUUCUGGUGUGCUGGAACGUUCAGCGGAAUAUGAUGAAUGAUCACCUGUCACAGCUUGUUUAUUAUAAUGCAGGCAAUCAAUUACACAUCCCCAACGCUGGCCGGCCCGCAGGAAAUUUAUAUGCUCAGCACAAACCAAUGUGAAAAUGGAAUCUCAUUUGCCAAAUGUCUUUCUCCCCGUACAGCACGAUGAUUACAGUCUGUGUUUGUUUCAACAGUCGUGUACAACUGACAGUGCCAUCAUUUACUGCCUGGCUCAGGUCACGUUACUCUAAGGCUUUAUUUAUGGUGUUACGAAGGGCAGCACAGGAAAAGGACAAGGGUGUCUGUCAGGGAUGGCACUGUGUUAAAAAGUGGGCGUGCAAGGGCCGCAUUCCCGGGCAGCCGCUGCAACCUCAGCCCCUGGGCCCUUACCUCCGCAGCCUCUCCCAGCAUCCAGCUACCCAGACUCCAAGGCCCCAGCCGGGAGCCAGCUCUCGGUACCUGGAGCUCCACAGGUCCCAGAAUCGGGGUGGAUCAGAAUUCAAAUUCUGGUUCUGCUACUGUCUAAUUGCGUGCUGCAGGGACUCAAUCUCUUCAUCUGGGAAAUGGGAGUAAUAGCCCUUGGCAGGAAUGUUGCGAUCUCUGGGAUGUCAGAGGUGUUGAUGAAUGUUAGUUCCCGGGACUUCGGAAAGAGGUCCCGUUGGAAGAGAUGUGAAUUGGAAUUCACACCCUAUAUUAAAAUCUCCUCCAAUCUUCACCUCUGAGACAUGGCUGUCUCAAGACUGUUUUGUUUCCCUUCCUGGUGGAAUUUUGCACUUUUAUGUCCUGUGUAGCAGCAGGUAGUGUGGCUUUGAAAAAAUAAAAUGGCCACCUUGCUCCGCUGUUCUUUCUUUGUAAAAAAAAAAAAAAAAAAAAAAAAAAAAAAAAACCACAUAGCAAUCUUGGCCUUUCUAGCUGUGUGACCCCAGGCCGGUCAAUCCCUCCUCCUCUCCAAGCCUCGGAUUCCUCCCCUGAGAAGUAAAGAAAAUAACUCCUAAACUGCCUCCCUAGGCUUGCUGGCAGGAUCCAAGGUGUCCAGAGAUGUU
rnacentral:lncRNA from 1 species